UCAACAAGAAAAGCUUUUCAUUUAUAUAUAAUUUUUGCCAUGGCAGCCAAAAAGGCUUAAGGCAAACAAAAGAUGGAAAUGAAGAGCAUUGAAAAUCAAGAUGUUAGGCAUUUUCUAAACGGAGAUCUAGUAUCUACAAAAAGCGGUGGCGCUCAGCAGCUUGUGGAGGAACGUAGGCGUGUAAGAAUUCAAGAAUUAGACAGCUAGGGUCUGAUACGAAAAAGGGUCAAGAACUAGAGGAAAAGUUAAUAGAGAAUGAGAGAAAAGGAUGGUGGGAUGCUUCUAUCGAAGAGCUUAACUUACUAAAGCUUAUUGAGUUGGAGAAUAAGUUCAAGACUUUACACACGUCCUUGUGCAACGAAGCCAUGGACAGCAAUGAUAGAGCUUCUUCUUCUUCAAGAGUUCCACAGUCAAAUUAAUUAUCCUUCUUAAAAAAAGCUAUAUUCAUCUUUUAUUCUUAUCUUAUUUAUUUAUUUAUCUUUAUUUCUA